UCAAGUUUUUGACCUAUCAGCUUACGACGGUAGGGUAUUGGCUUACCGUGGCAGCAACGGGUAACGGGGAAUUAGGGUUCGGUUCCGGAGAGGGAGCCUGAGAAACGGCUACCACAUCUAAGGAAGGCAGCAGGCGCGCAAAUUACCCAAUGAAAACAGUUUUGAGGUAGUGACGAGAAAUAACAAUACAGAGCAUUUAAAUGUUUUGUAAUUGGAAUGGUGGGAAUCUAAACCCCUUUCAGAGUAACAAUUGGAGGGAAAGUCUGGUGCCAGCAGCCGCGGUAAUUCCAGCUCCAAUAGCGUAUAUUUGAGUUGUUGCAGUUAAAAAGCUCGUAGUUGGAUUUCUGUCUUGGCUUUUACGUGUACUACAUGUAUAUUAAUUUAUAGAUGUUUUAUAACAGCGUUUAAACUUUGACAUAUUAUCCCAAUGUGUGUAUGUGUGUGUAUAUAUAGAGAAUUAGGUUUUAAGACCUUGAUUUAAUAUAUAUAUAUAUAUAUAAUCAUUGGGACUUUUACUUUGAGAAAAAUAGAGUGUUUCAAGCAGGUAUUUUUUUGCCUUGAAUACUGCAGCAUGGAAUAAUAAUAUAGGACUUUGGUUUUAUUUUGUUGGUUUCUAAGACUAGAGUAAUGAUUAAUAGGGACAGUUGGGGGCAUUCGUAUUUUACGGUCAGAGGUGAAAUUCUUAUAUUCGU
rnacentral:rRNA from 1 species